rnacentral:rRNA from 1 species
GACGAACGCUGGCGGCGUGCUUAACACAUGCAAGUCGAGCGGUAAGGCCCUUUCGGGGGUACACGAGCGGCGAACGGGUGAGUAACACGUGGGUGACCUGCCCUCAGCUCUGGGAUAAGCCUGGGAAACCAGGUCUAAUACUGGAUAUGACUCCAUGACGCAUGUUGUGGGGUGGAAAGCCUUGUGCGGCUGAGGAUGGGCCCGCGGCCUAUCAGCUUGUUGGUGGGGUGAUGGCCUACCAAGGCGACGACGGGUAGCCGGCCUGAGAGGGCGACCGGCCACACUGGGACUGAGACACGGCCCAGACUCCUACGGGAGGCAGCAGUGGGGAAUCUUGCGCAAUGGGCGAAAGCCUGACGCAGCGACGCCGCGUGAGGGAUGACGGCCUC